UACGUAGGGUGCAAGCGUUGUCCGGAAUUAUUGGGCGUAAAGAGCUCGUAGGCGGUUUGUUGCGUCGAAUGUGAAAACCCGGGGCUCAACCCCGGGACUGCAUUCGAUACGGGCAGACUAGAGUUCGGUAGGGGAGUCUGGAAUUCCUGGUGUAGCGGUGAAAUGCGCAGAUAUCUGGAGGAACACCGGUGGCGAAGGCGGCAUCCUGGACCAAUAUUGACGCUGAGGAGCGAAAGCCGGGGGAGCAAACGGG
rnacentral:rRNA from 1 species